UACGGAGGGGGCUAGCGUUGUUCGGAAUUACUGGGCGUAAAGCGUGCGCAGGCGGUUUUGUAAGUUUGUCGUGAAAUCCCCGGGCUCAACCUGGGAAUGGCGAUGAAGACUGCAAGGCUAGAAUCUGGCAGAGGGGGGUAGAAUUCCACGUGUAGCAGUGAAAUGCGUAGAGAUGUGGAGGAACACCGAUGGCGAAGGCAGCCCCCUGGGUCAAGAUUGACGCUCAUGCACGAAAGCGUGGGGAGCAAACAGG
rnacentral:rRNA from 1 species